rnacentral:rRNA from 1 species
GGUUAAGCGACUAAGCGUACACGGUGGAUGCCCUGGCAGUCAGAGGCGAUGAAGGACGUGCUAAUCUGCGAAAAGCGCCGGUAAGGUGAUAUGAACCGUUAUAGCCGGCGAUGUCCGAAUGGGGAAACCCAGUGUGACUCGUCACACUAUCAUUAACUGAAUCCAUAGGUUAAUGAGGCGAACCGGGGGAACUGAAACAUCUAAGUACCCCGAGGAAAAGAAAUCAACCGAGAUUCCCCCAGUAGCGGCGAGCGAACGGGGAGGAGCCCAGAGUCUGAAUCAGCUUGUGUGUUAGUGGAAGCGUCUGGAAAGUCGCGCGAUACAGGGUGACAGCCCCGUACACAAAAGCACACAGGCUGUGAGCUCGAUGAGUAGGGCGGGACACGUGGUAUCCUGUCUGAAUAUGGGGGGACCAUCCUCCAAGGCUAAAUACUCCUGACUGACCGAUAGUGAACCAGUACCGUGAGGGAAAGGCGAAAAGAACCCCGGCGAGGGGAGUGAAAAAGAACCUGAAACCGUGUACGUACAAGCAGUGGGAGCCUCUUAAUGGGGUGACUGCGUACCUUUUGUAUAAUGGGUCAGCGACUUAUAUUCUGUAGCAAGGUUAACCGAAUAGGGGAGCCGAAGGGAAACCGAGUCUUAACUGGGCGUUAAGUUGCAGGGUAUAGACCCGAAACCCGGUGAUCUAGCCAUGGGCAGGUUGAAGGUUGGGUAACACUAACUGGAGGACCGAACCGACUAAUGUUGAAAAAUUAGCGGAUGACCUGUGGCUGGGGGUGAAAGGCCAAUCAAACCGGGAGAUAGCUGGUUCUCCCCGAAAGCUAUUUAGGUAGCGCCUCGUGAAUUCAUCUCCGGGGGUAGAGCACUGUUUCGGCUAGGGGGCCAUCCCGGCUUACCAACCCGAUGCAAACUGCGAAUACCGGAGAAUGUUAUCACGGGAGACACACGGCGGGUGCUAACGUCCGUCGUGAAGAGGGAAACAACCCAGACCGCCAGCUAAGGUCCCAAAGUCAUGGUUAAGUGGGAAACGAUGUGGGAAGGCCCAGACAGCCAGGAUGUUGGCUUAGAAGCAGCCAUCAUUUAAAGAAAGCGUAAUAGCUCACUGGUCGAGUCGGCCUGCGCGGAAGAUGUAACGGGGCUAAACCAUGCACCGAAGCUGCGGCAGCGACACUGUGUGUUGUUGGGUAGGGGAGCGUUCUGUAAGCCUGCGAAGGUGGCCUGUGAGGGUUGCUGGAGGUAUCAGAAGUGCGAAUGCUGACAUAAGUAACGAUAAAGCGGGUGAAAAGCCCGCUCGCCGGAAGACCAAGGGUUCCUGUCCAACGUUAAUCGGGGCAGGGUGAGUCGACCCCUAAGGCGAGGCCGAAAGGCGUAGUCGAUGGGAAACAGGUUAAUAUUCCUGUACUUGGUGUUACUGCGAAGGGGGGACGGAGAAGGCUAUGUUAGCCGGGCGACGGUUGUCCCGGUUUAAGCGUGAAGGUGUGUGCUCCAGGCAAAUCCGGAGUGCUUUAACACUGAGGCGUGAUGACGAGGCACUACGGUGCUGAAGUAACAAAUGCCCUGCUUCCAGGAAAAGCCUCUAAGCAUCAGGUAACACGAAAUCGUACCCCAAACCGACACAGGUGGUCAGGUAGAGAAUACCAAGGCGCUUGAGAGAACUCGGGUGAAGGAACUAGGCAAAAUGGUGCCGUAACUUCGGGAGAAGGCACGCUGAUAUGUAGGUGAAGCGACUUGCUCGUGGAGCUGAAAUCAGUCGAAGAUACCAGCUGGCUGCAACUGUUUAUUAAAAACACAGCACUGUGCAAACACGAAAGUGGACGUAUACGGUGUGACGCCUGCCCGGUGCCGGAAGGUUAAUUGAUGGGGUCAUCCGUAAGGAGAAGCUCUUGAUCGAAGCCCCGGUAAACGGCGGCCGUAACUAUAACGGUCCUAAGGUAGCGAAAUUCCUUGUCGGGUAAGUUCCGACCUGCACGAAUGGCGUAAUGAUGGCCAGGCUGUCUCCACCCGAGACUCAGUGAAAUUGAACUCGCUGUGAAGAUGCAGUGUACCCGCGGCAAGACGGAAAGACCCCGUGAACCUUUACUAUAGCUUGACACUGAACACUGGUCCUUGAUGUGUAGGAUAGGUGGGAGGCUUUGAAGCGUGGACGCCAGUCUGCGUGGAGCCAUCCUUGAAAUACCACCCUUUAAUGGCUGGUGUUCUAACGUGGACCCGUAAUCCGGGUUGCGGACAGUGUCUGGUGGGUAGUUUGACUGGGGCGGUCUCCUCCUAAAGCGUAACGGAGGAGCACGAAGGUCAGCUAAUCCUGGUCGGACAUCAGGAGGUUAGUGCAAUGGCAUAAGCUGGCUUGACUGCGAGCGUGACGGCGCGAGCAGGUGCGAAAGCAGGUCAUAGUGAUCCGGUGGUUCUGAAUGGAAGGGCCAUCGCUCAACGGAUAAAAGGUACUCCGGGGAUAACAGGCUGAUACCGCCCAAGAGUUCAUAUCGACGGCGGUGUUUGGCACCUCGAUGUCGGCUCAUCACAUCCUGGGGCUGAAGUAGGUCCCAAGGGUAUGGCUGUUCGCCAUUUAAAGUGGUACGCGAGCUGGGUUUAGAACGUCGUGAGACAGUUCGGUCCCUAUCUGCCGUGGGCGCUGGAGAAUUGAGGGGGGCUGCUCCUAGUACGAGAGGACCGGAGUGGACGCAUCACUGGUGUUCGGGUUGUCAUGCCAAUGGCACUGCCCGGUAGCUAAAUGCGGAAGAGAUAAGUGCUGAAAGCAUCUAAGCACGAAACUUGCCCCGAGAUGAGUUCUCCCUGAGACUUUAAGUCUCCUGAAGGAACGUUGAAGACGACGACGUUGAUAGGCCGGGUGUGUAAGCGCAGCGAUGCGUUGAGCUAACCGGUACUAAUGAACCGUGAGGCUUAACCUU